GUUGGCACAAAGCAGACUAUGGGCCUUUACGUCUCAGGGGAAGCGAACAAUACUUGGCAUACAGGAGCUUUGUGAGCUGGUGUUGGGGUUUUCUGGGACGAAGACUUUGUGUGCCACUGCCCAGCUGUGUUGUCCGACGGAUAUGGAUCGAGUACCCUGAUUCUGAAGGCAUCUAUGUGGGCUUCAGACCGGCCAUUGACUGUACCUCGUCGCAUAGCGCUCGAUCACCUCCUUCUGGUCCGGCUUUUCGAACUGUGCAGAGAGGUCUUCAGGGAUGGACAUUUUGAGAACCACCUCUGUGUUGAAUCUUGAAUCUUGAAUCUCGUGUAUGGACCAAGCUCAGGAAAAACCUUCUCAAACACCAGGUCCAUGAUUUCAUCCACGUAGCCUGCAAUAACAGAAAGUGCAAUAUUGUGUGUAAUUGGUUGUGUGCAUUUACUGUAAGUAAGACUUUUGUUAUAGUGUUAUUUAUAUGAUAUUUCAUUUAACUAAGAUUUUCUAAUGGCCAUUUAAUUUUUUAGUCUGACUUUCAAUAAAGAAAACAAAACUUA